GACGUAGGGCGCGAGCGUUGUCCGGAUUUAUUGGGCGUAAAGAGCUCGUAGGCGGUCAGUCGCGUCUGCUAGUGGAAAACUCGGGGCUUAACCCCGGGCCUGCAGUGGGUACGGGCUGACUAGAGUGCGGUAGGGGAGACUGGAAUUCCUGGUGUAGCGGUGAAAUGCGCAGAUAUCAGGAGGAACACCGAUGGCGAAGGCAGCUUACUGGGCCGAUACUGACGCUGAGGAGCGAAAGCGUGGGGAGCGAACAGG
rnacentral:rRNA from 1 species